GACGAACGCUGGCGGCGUGCUUAACACAUGCAAGUCGAACGAUGAAGCGGUGCUUGCACCGUGGAUUAGUGGCGAACGGGUGAGUAAUACGUGAGUGACCUACCUUUGACUCUGGGAUAAGCCUGGGAAACUGGGUCUAAUACCGGAUACGACCAAUCUCUGCAUGGGGUGUUGGUGGAAAGCGUUAUGGAGUGGUUUUAGAUGGGCUCACGGCCUAUCAGCUUGUUGGUGAGGUAAUGGCUUACCAAGGCGACGACGGGUAGCCGGCCUGAGAGGGUGACCGGCCACACUGGGACUGAGACACGGCCCAGACUCCUACGGGAGGCAGCAGUGGGGAAUAUUGCACAAUGGGCGCAAGCCUGAUGCAGCGACGCCGCGUGAGGGAUGACGGCCUUCGGGUUGUAAACCUCUGUUAGCAUCGAAGAAGCGAAAGUGACGGUAGGUGCAGAGAAAGCGCCGGCUAACUACGUGCCAGCAGCCGCGGUAAUACGUAGGGCGCGAGCGUUGUCCGGAAUUAUUGGGCGUAAAGAGCUUGUAGGCGGUUGGUCGCGUCUGCUGUGAAGGCCGGGGCUUAACUCCGGUUUUGCAGUGGGUACGGGCUAACUAGAGUGCAGUAGGGGAGACUGGAAUUCCUGGUGUAGCGGUGGAAUGCACAGAUAUCAGGAGGAACACCGAUGGCGAAGGCAGGUCUCUGGGCUGUAACUGACGCUGAGAAGCGAAAGCAUGGGGAGCGAACAGGAUUAGAUACCCUGGUAGUCCAUGCCGUAAACGUUGGGCACUAGGUGUGGGGGACAUUCCACGUUUUCCGCGCCGUAGCUAACGCAUUAAGUGCCCCGCCUGGGGAGUACGGCCGCAAGGCUAAAACUCAAAGGAAUUGACGGGGGCCCGCACAAGCGGCGGAGCAUGCGGAUUAAUUCGAUGCAACGCGAAGAACCUUACCAAGGCUUGACAUGCAUUAGAUCGCGUCAGAGAUGGCGUUUCCCUUCGGGGCUGGUGUACAGGUGGUGCAUGGUUGUCGUCAGCUCGUGUCGUGAGAUGUUGGGUUAAGUCCCGCAACGAGCGCAACCCUCGUUCUAUGUUGCCAGCGGUUCGGCCGGGGACUCAUAGGAGACUGCCGGGGUCAACUCGGAGGAAGGUGGGGAUGACGUCAAAUCAUCAUGCCCCUUAUGUCUUGGGCUUCACGCAUGCUACAAUGGCCGGUACAGAGGGUUGCGAUACUGUGAGGUGGAACUAAUCCCUUAAAGCCGGUCUCAGUUCGGAUUGGGGUCUGCAACUCGACCCCAUGAAGUCGGAGUCGCUAGUAAUCGCAGAUCAGCAACGCUGCGGUGAAUACGUUCCCGGGCCU
rnacentral:rRNA from 1 species